GCUCAGGAUGAACGCUAGCUACAGGCUUAACACAUGCAAGUCGAGGGGUAGCAGGGUAGCAAUACCGCUGACGACCGGCGCACGGGUGAGUAACACGUAUCCAACCUUCCCAUAACUCGGGGAUAGCCUUUCGAAAGAAAGAUUAAUACCCGAUAGUACUUUUUUAGGGCAUCUUAGAAAAGUUAAAGAUUUAUUGGUUAUGGAUGGGGAUGCGUUCCAUUAGAUAGUUGGUGAGGUAACGGCUCACCAAGUCUUCGAUGGAUAGGGGUUCUGAGAGGAAGGUCCCCCACAUUGGUACUGAGACACGGACCAAACUCCUACGGGAGGCAGCAGUGAGGAAUAUUGGUCAAUGGGCGAGAGCCUGAACCAGCCA
rnacentral:rRNA from 1 species